UUUUGAGAAAAGUCUCACUUACUCUUUAGCUUUCAUCAAGUUCUUGUCCUUGACAGAUUGACAAGAGUACACUUACAAUAUCAGAGCUUUGUCUUUUCUUGAUUAAGAGUGGAUUACCCCUUUUUCUUGAUAAGACAUAAGCGCAUUAGAAGUUGCGGAUUACCCUCUUUUAAACUGAUAUUGUUCUUAGUAUUUUCUUUGUUAUCAAUUCCUCUCUUCUAUUUGUUUUGAGC
rnacentral:lncRNA from 1 species